CCUACGGGUGGCAGCAGUGAGGAAUAUUGGUCAAUGGGCGGGAGCCUGAACCAGCCAAGUCGCGUGAGGGAAGACGGUCCUAUGGAUUGUAAACCUCUUUAGGCGGGGAGCAAUGCCGGGCACGUGUGCCCGGAGGGAGAGUACCCGCAGAAUAAGCAUCGGCUAACUCCGUGCCAGCAGCCGCGGUAAUACGGAGGAUGCGAGCGUUAUCCGGAUUUAUGGGGUUUAAAGGGUGCGUAGGGGGAUUUUUAAGUCAGCGGUAAAAUGUCCGGGCUCAACCCGGGCCGGCCGUUGAAACUGGGGAUCUUGAUUGGGCGAGAAGUAUGCGGAAUGCGUGGUGGAGCGGUGAAAUGCAUAG
rnacentral:rRNA from 1 species